rnacentral:misc_RNA from 1 species
GUGAAUCAUCGAAUCUUUGAACGCACAUUGCGCCCGUCAGUAUUCUGGCGGGCAUGCCUGUUCGAGCGUCAUUUCAACCAUCAAGCCCCAGGCUUGUGUUGGGGCACUGCGGCUGCCGCAGGCCCCUAAAAGCAGUGGCGGACUCGCUGUCAUACCGAGCGCAGUAGCACAUCUCGCUCAGGGCGUGGCGGCGGGCACCGGCCGUAAAACAACUAAAACUCAAGGUUGACCUCGGAUCAGGUAGGAAUACCCGCUGAACUUAAGCAUAUCAAUAAGCGGAGGA